GACGAACGCUGGCGGCGUGCUUAACACAUGCAAGUCGAACGAAGAGCGAUGGAAGCUUGCUUCUAUCAAUCUUAGUGGCGAACGGGUGAGUAACGCGUAAUCAACCUGCCCUUCAGAGGGGGACAACAGUUGGAAACGACUUGCUAAUACCGCAUACGAUCUAACCUCGGCAUCGAGGAUAGAUGAAAGGUGGCCUCUAUUUAUAAGCUAUCACUGAAGGAGGGGAUUGCGUCUGAUUAGCUAGUUGGAGGGGCAACGGCCCACCAAGGCGAUGAUCAGUAGCCGGUCUGAGAGGAUGAACGGCCACAUUGGGACUGAGACACGGCCCAGACUCCUACGGGAGGCAGCAGUGGGGAAUCUUCCGCAAUGGACGAAAGUCUGACGGAGCAACGCCGCGUGAGUGAUGACGGCCUUCGGGUUGUAAAGCUCUGUUAAUCGGGACGAAAGGCCUUCUUGCGAAUAGUUAGAAGGAUUGACGGUACCGGAAUAGAAAGCCCGGCU
rnacentral:rRNA from 1 species